GUCAUUCUUAUGGAGAAGAACCGGCAAGAAACUCCAUUAGUUACUCUUUUCAAAAUAAAAUAUUAUUGUAUCAUUUUACCACCAUAGACCACUCUAGACCGCGGGCUAAGGCAAGUAGGAGCGUGAGUCCUCGUAAUGAGUGACCCCCGGGGGCAUUCAGGUUCCGUUGUAUUGCUACUCAAGGCUCGCCACUAGUUGUCUUACGGCAGUACGCUCCUACAACCCACCCCUGUUCUAUAAAAAACCAAACCUAAGCGGCCCAAGGUAGCUGUCAAACUAUCGUAAUUUGUAAACAUAAAACUAGUACUAGUAGUAUUAGUAUUACGUCGUUAGACACUUUCACCCCCGAGCAUAUAGCUCUAGCGUCCCCUCUAGCCAGCCGGCUAGGCAAGAUAGAGCUAGGAUUCCACGUUAAGAAUUACCCUCUGGGGCAUUCAGGUUCCGUUGUAUCGCAACUCACUGACUCGCCACAAGUUGUCCUACCGAUGUACACUCCUACAAGAGACGUUCAGAUACAUUUUUAUAUCUCAAGGGUUACAAAAGCAUACUAAUUUACCCUCUGGUCUUUCGUUAUUCCCAUAGUUUGGUAAGGACUCACCCCGAAGGGUUAUUAUUAUCUCUUCAUUACUACACAUUACUCUACAUUACUGACUAUAUUUGCACAUUUCCAAAGUGUCAUUCUUAUGGAGAAGAACCGGCAAGAAACUCCAUUAGUUACUCUUUUCAAAAUAAAAUAUUCUAGUAUCAUUUUACAUUAUAAUUAAUGUCUGCAAAAACAGCGUGAAUUAGCAAAACAAGCAACCGAUAGCAUAGCAACCGAUUCCAAAUAUCGUUAUUACGUCGUUAGACACUUCCAGCGGCGAGCAUACAGCUCUAGAGACCACUAGACAGCGGGCUAAGGCAAGUAAGAGCGUGAGUCCUUGUAAGGAGUGACCCCGGGGGCAUUCAGGUUCCGUUGUAUUGUAUUUAUUCCAUAAUCGCCUACUAACUAAAGUGUAAAAUUAAUAAUUUAUCUAUUAUUGGAAUACACUGUGAUUUAUUUGUCGUCUUAUAAAAGAGAGCCCAGUUCAUGUAUAGCUUAAUAAGCUAAUGGUGUCUUAAGGUUUUGCGCCACCACGCAUUUGCGUGUUUCAGGGUCCUGAGUAUUGCAAUAUUUCCCAGCCUUGCUAUUUUUGAUAAGGUUGUUUUUUAUUCUGGACCCUUUUUUGCCGUCGACGCUUAUCCCAAUUUUAGAAGGCGAGGCUUUUCAGAUUCGUUUUUCGAAUUGCUCUUAGAUUUUUCGUCUCUCAAAAACAAAUGUUUUUAAUGGUCUCUUAACGACGACAGCCCACCUCAAUGCUGCACGAAUUGCACUUUUACCGAUUUUAUGACCUGGGAUAGAAUUGAAUAUCAAAGACAGAUAGCUGUGAAAAUAUGUGUAAUAAACUAAUUUAGCAGUGGAUUACACUUGUACGUUGUGGUUAAUCUUAUUUAGCCCCAUUUCGGCCUCCAUCAUUUAAUACUAUUACAGCCCCUUUUUGGCGGGGCUGAAAGGCUAUUGACUUCAACCCACGCCGAGGCCACGGCGUGGGGAUAUUAGACUCUCACCGACUAAAAACACCCCGGGCCUUUCAACUGCCUGAACUAGUGCUACCGGAUAUCUCGCGCAUGCUCUGUGCGUUGCGGCCGUUAUCCGGUUAGACCUCUCCCAACUCCGCGUUCCCCGAUUGCGAACGUCAUUCACGAUUUGAUGUAAACUGCCCUGUUGUGUAUGUUAUUUGGUAAAUAAAUAAAUGUAUGCUAAGACGAGAAGGGAAACAGGUAUUCAACUUGUGGCACAACCUUUCCUAUAUUUUUUUUACGUAGGCCAAAGUGUCUCUUAUUUUAAAAACCUAGGACUUUCUGGUUGGAGUUUUGUAAAAUACCUGCUUCAUUUUAAAAUAGUUAUCGCAUUUAUACCUACAUAUCUACAAACAUACAGAUUGCUUAGGAUAUUCUAAUAUAAACAACAUAAAAUAUUUUUUUAUCCAACUGCGUCGAAAAGAGGAUUAUGCUUUUUCCUUUCUGUAAAAGUUUGAUACUUUCUUUACUUUGUCGUUUCUUUUACAACCAGGUAAAUACCAGACAAGUAGCAUCGAAAAUUCUUCUUACCCGACUGCUUCUAAGUCGUGAGGUAUGUGGGAAUUGAUUACAAGAAUUAACAAAUCAAUAUAUUUAACUAAAAAUAACUAAUCAAUAAUUAAAAGUGUCUUUUUGUCUCCUAUAAACGUUAUAGCCGGCUAAAUACAGCCGAGCCUAAUGGCUAUGAGAUCUAGGCUAUAGAUUAGUCACAUUACUCCUCUCGCUAACGCUGACGAAUCACUCAAAUGUAUUGAACUGACAAGUCAAAGUCACGUCACUGGUUUAAAAACCAAUUUCAUUCACAAAAUUUUGAUGUUUUCAAUUCCAAUGCGAUUUAACAUUGACUAGUGGUUACUGGUGAUGGGGCAUGGGCUCCCUUUUCCGCACGUAGGCUCCAAGUCGGCCCAUUGUGCGUCAGGUGGUUUUGGAGGGCUGUCAGUCCAAUCACCACAACUCCCUCCAGAAGCGCAGAAGUCUCCUGGGACGUUCGCAGGCUUCUGUGAUGGAGAAAACAUGUCUAGGCAUGGUAUUAUAAUCUUUGCCUUUGUAGUGACGUCAUCAUUGUGACGUACGUGAUUCUGUAGUCUGGCGUUUAUAGGAGAUACUUUUCAAUUAUGUGUGGUGAUGGAAUCUUUAUGAUAAUUAAUUUCGGAUUGAUUUUUAUAUUUUGUUAAGAUUGCUUUAUCAUAAAGAUGUUUUUUCAAAUUGGGGUGCCUUAAUUUACGUGAGUUUUAAAAACUGCCGGAUAGGUUGGCGUUGUGAUUGGAAUAAAUAUUAUUUGAUUAACCUCUAAAUGGAUCGUUAUAGGUAUGUAAUUCCGCCUAAAUUGACUGUUGAUUUAAAUUAGGAUAUCUAAUUAGCAGCUUCGUGUGAUUAGAACAUUUCUUUUUAUUUUGAUACUGUAACACCGUCUCACGGCUGGGAAAAGGUUUAUUAUUUGUUAUUUUUUUGUAUAUUUCUUGUGCUCUAUAAGUAUAGAUGAUAAUUAUAAGAUAUCUCAUGAUUUUGCAUGCAACAGUAUCUGAUCAAAAUCAGUAUUAUGACUUCAUAUUUUCAAUUUCAUAUUCUCUGUAUACUGCUAUUAUAAUAAUAGAUCGAUACCUCAACUUGACGUAUUGACUAAUUAAAUGACAAUAUACUUCAUUAAAAUGGCGGCGGUUUAAUUUGACUAAAUCUAAAAAUAUAAAUCUGUAUAAGUUCAAAAGUACUUAAGAUUGGUAGUGGGGCUCAGAACAUCACUUGCUUGUAAAAAGCGCAUUGGUAAGUGACGUUACACGAGAUUUUAAACCACUGUAUCCCCUUCGCUUUUUGUUCCCGAGACAAAGGAAGAAAUACGUAACCAAUAUUUUUUGGAAAUCUGUCUGACGGAUUAAAAAAAUGUUUUUGUGAAAAAUCCCAUUACUAUAUUAGAUUUAAGUUUAUAAGCUUAGUAAUUAUGCAACAAAACGUUUUCAUGAGGUGAUAUAAUGUAAGUUAUAAAUGAAUGUAAUUCUUGAGUAGUUUUAGCUAUGUCUAACCUUGCCAUGUCAGAGGCCUAAAGGCUACGGGCCUACUACUUAAAUCUGACACCAGGCUGAACAUUAACCAUACGACAAAAGUCUAAAAUUAAGACUGAAAUAAAUUAAGAUUAUCUCCGAAUAUAUUACUAAGAGCUGACGCGGCCGGCAGUUCGACUCGCGAUCUGGCCGCGUCAGCUCAUGAUUAAGGACUCCGGUUGCGUCCGAAACUAGUCGGGCAAACCCGAUAAAUACGUGUGAGUAAACCGUUGCAUCAUUUAGUAAUGAAUCAUUAUUCUGUUAAUGAUGGAAUUUAGAGUAAGUUGUUAAGCACGUAUGUAACAUUAUUUUUAGUAUUAAUAAAUCCGACUGAUAUACGCCAUAGUAAAAGAAGAUAUAUAUUCUCAUGAAUGUAGUAUUAUACUCCACUAGUUCUUGUGACUAUGGUAUAACAUAGCAUAACAAAGAUAUUUGAAAAUUUGAAUUUGAAAAGGUUGAAAAUUUUGAUAGUGAGUCAACCGGUCUUGUUGCAGCAAUGAUACUGCUCUAUUCCUAUUGAUGAUAGCGUGAUGUUAUAAAGCCAUAACCUUCCUUAAUAAAUGGGAUAUCUAACGUUGAAAGAAUUUUGUAAUCGUAGUAGUUCCUCAGCUAAGCGCGUUCAAUCAAAUAAAAAACUCAUCUGUUUUGUAAUAUUUGUACUUUGGUCGUGUUUUAUAUUCAAACUGAAUUUGUAUUAGACUUACGAGUAAGACUCACGAAGAAAGUUCAUAUUUUUUAAGUACUUGUAUACCAAUGUAUAGUAUUGUAUCUUUUAAUACAUUAGUAGCUAAAAGUUAUGAUGUAUCCUAGUUAUAGAAUAAAUUAUUUCAUUUCAUUUUUAUGGCACCGUUCAGGUCCAUGACAAGUAGAUGUCUACAUUGCCGUAGUACUGGAAUUAGUGUUGCCAAAAACUCUUUGUAAUUUGAAGGUUUAAAAGGAUAUUUUUGUUUCCGUUUGAACCUGAAAAUAAACGGUCCAUAUUUUGAUAAUAGUAAGAAAAUUCCUAUACAUGAUUUGAAAAUUGUGU